UUCUCUUCUAUUAUUAAGCACUCCUUCAAUGAAUAAUAGUGUGCUGUCCAAGUAGCAGAAUUUAGAGUGUUUAAUCCUACACUGUUGGCACAAUACUUUGGCUGUGUUCCAGUACUUGUGUUCUUCCAGCAAACUUAAAAUCAAUAAUAGGAGGGUUAAUUCUGGAAUCUUCUCAGUACUGAAACUGAAACUGACUACACUGUAAUGACAAAAGUCACCUUUGUGUAUUUAUUUACUUUUAGAAAACAAUGCUUGAGAGUGUGUAUUUUACAUGUAGAGUGUCUGUAAGGUUUACAACUGUCUUUGCAUAUGAACAACAGUUUCUCAUAGAGCUGUUCAAUUUUUUUCUUGUUUCCACAGAAAAUUUGUGCCCUGGGCUCAUGAUAUUUUUAUUUUUCCCCCUUCAUGACACUGUUUAGAAUACCAGGGAUGUUUGUCAUGAUAAGAGGAUUCCAACAAGGACUUGUCAUAGGCAAUUGCAUGCAAUUUGGUUAAGUAUGAGGUUGUGGGUGUGGAUUUUGUCCUUGACACAGCAUCUCUGCUAAAUUACUGGCAGUAGUUUGUGGCUGUUCUGGCUGUUCAGGAAUAUAAAGCCCUGAAAUAGAUUAUACUCUUAUUUUUGAUGUCUGGAGCACCCACAGGACACAAAGUAUACACUUUCUGAAUUAUUCUUUCCCUUUCAGACCCUUUUCUUGUCUCAAGCGAUCUGUUAUUUCCUUUCUCAUCUCUUUGUUUCUUCUUAUCUGUCUUAACUAUACUUUCUCCUACACAAGGGAAGACGUUUUCCUCUAUGUUUUUUUUUUGUUUGCAAUUCCACAAAGAGCAAGUCCUCUAAGAUAAUAUUUUCCAAGAAUGGCCUAAACUGAUUUGAAUCAGUGUCUAUUACAUGUGUGAUUUUCAAUAAACAGUGAUGACGAUAAUAAUGAACUCACUGAAUCAUGUACCCAGGACUGCGAGGGAUUCACGAAUACCUCUAAAGAUAUGCAAGAAACUGGUGAUACCAGAAAUCCCUGGAGAAUUAUGGAGCAGUGGGGAAGAGAGGUAUCAAGAUAAUGCCACUGGGGAGACUAGUUUGGUAGGAUGAGCAACGUCAAGUGACUUUACCUGUGGAGAGAUUGGAUGGCUACUCACUUGGGCAUUUUAUAAAAAUACCGGGAAGUGUUCUCCAGCUGCAAGUCCUCCUAUGCAAUCAAGACUGACGAGGUUCUACACCUAAGGAAAGAAAGAGGAGGGCAUGUAGGUAAGAAAGGCAUUUGCUUGCAGGUGACUGAAUGCCCAACAAGGACUGCCUUACAGACAAGGGUAAUUUUUCUCACAUAAUGGGAAGUCUGGCAGUAAAGCAGGUAUUGGCCUUGAUUCAGCUGCUUACAAACUUUAUCGGGUACUCAGGGUCCUUUCCUUUUUUGCUAGGGUGCUAGCUUUUACUUUUAUAUUCAUCACCCCAUGGUUGCAAGAUGGUUGCUGUCACAUCCAGAUUUCACUUUUAUUUUCAAAACCUGAGGGGUGUUAAGAUGCCAGCCUUUUAUGAAGAGAGCAAAGACUUUCCAGAGUUUUCCCCAGCAGACCUCUGCUUGCAUUUCAUUGUCACAUGGGCACUGCCAGCUGGAUUGGAGCCUGGAAAAGCAAGAGACAGGACUAUCACAAUUGGCUUAGACCAAGGGUCGGCAAACUUUUUCUGUAACAGGCCAGAUAGUAAAUAUUUUAGGCUUUGCAGGCCAUACGGUCUCUGUUGUAAUCACUCAAUUCUGCCGUUCUAGCAUGAAAGCCGCCAUAGAUAAUCCAUAAAUGAUUGAGUGUUGCUCUAUUCCAAUAACACUUUAUUUAUGGACACUGAAAUUUGAUAUAACUCUCACAUAUUAUGAAACACUAUUCUUCUUUUGAUUUGUUUCAACCACUCAAAAAUGUACAAACUAAUCUCAGUUCCCAGGCCAUAUAAAAACAGAUGGUAGGCCUGAUUUGGCCCCCGAGCCCAGAGUUUGCCAAUCCCUGGCUGGGACCAAGGACAACCCAUCAACUGGAUCUGGGCAAAAAGCUACGACAAAGUUCUAAUAGUGGUGUUCUAAUAGUUAUCUCUAAAGAAGAAAUGAACACGGGAUAGGCAGCUAACAAUGCUGCGACUAAGAGUAGUUUUUAUUUUCUACAUGCAUAAGCUUUCAUAUAAAAUAUUUGGUAUACGGCUAUAAUAUUUUAAUUCCUUUCUCUUUCUUCCACUUUAAUCUACAUUUUUUUUUUCUUAUUCAUAAAGAGCUCUUCUCUGCUCCAUUAGAGUAGCUGGUAUCCAGACCCUGGGUUUUUAAGUAAUUAAUA